rnacentral:tRNA from 1 species
GCCACCUUAGCUCAGUUGGUUAGAGCGGCUGUUUUGUAAACAGCAGGUCCAGGGUUCGAUUCCCCGAGGUGGCUCAA